rnacentral:rRNA from 1 species
UGACCUCGGUUCGGACGUGAAUACCCGCUGAACUUAAGCAUAUCACUAAGCGGAGGAAAAGAAACUAACCA